AAAGGGAGUUUACCUGUCCUUAUGUAGGCCAACUUGUUUCGGUGCUAGUUUUGGUUCUUUUCUUUCUUUCUUUUUAUUUUUUAAUUUCAUUGCAAGUAAAAUUUCAAGAAGGGAAAAUAAAAAAAAUAAAGAAUGAAUGAAUUAAAAAAGAAAGAAAAGGAGUAGGAGAAAAUGGAGAUACCCGAAGAGUGGUUUAGAGUAAAAUUCGGCGUCUUAGAAGACGCAUGUGUUUGUGUGAUUGCUCCAGUUGUGUUUCACUUGCGAUACGUUCCAGUGGCUCUUUAACGGAUUAGUAUGUGUUCGAUACGGAACAUAGCCCUGCAGAUCUGCAAAAUCGUUCUUCCUGUUCUUUGUUUAUGCAUAACAGUCACAC